AUUGAACGCUGGCGGCAGGCCUAACACAUGCACGUCGAGCGAGCGGCGGACGGGUGAGUAAUGUAUGGGGACUGCCCGAUAGAGGAGGAUAACUACUGGAAACGGUAGCUAAUACCGCAUACUAUCGGAUAACCCAUAUGGGAUUAGCUAGUAGGUGAGGUAAUGGCUCACCUAGGCGACGAUCCCUAGCUGGUCUGAGAGGAUGAUCAGCAACAAUGGGAAUGAGACAAGGCCCGGACUCCUACGGAGGCAGCAGUGGGGAAUAUUGCACAAGUGGCGCAAGCAUGAUGCAGCCAUGCCGCGGGUAUGAAGAAGGCCCUAGGGUUGUAAAGUACUUUCAGUCGGGAGGCGUUACCGACAGAAGAAGCACCGGCUAACUCCGUGCCAGCAGCCGCGGUAAUUC
rnacentral:rRNA from 1 species